GCACGCGGGCUGCCGGGAGGCCGCCGUGGGGGCGAGAGCUGGGCCUGGAGAGGCCCCUGGGAGGCAAGAGCGGGACCUGCAGAGGCUGUUCUUCCGCCAGAGCUGGGCCUGUACAGGCCACCGAGAGGCAGUAGGCGGGCGCGAAGAGCUUGGCUCGAGAAAGUUCGGGGCCUACAAAGGCGGUUUUGAGCUGGGCAGGAGUUGAGCCCAAAGAGCUUGCUUACUUGCUGGGAGGCAGGGCCGGGAGACGCUGACUUCAGGACGACUUGGGCCUGCAGAGGUCGCCAGGAGGCCCAAGCUGGGCGUGGAGGAGCCCACCGACCGGAGACCAUUUCGGGUCUGGAGACGCCAUUGGAGGGCAGGAGGUGAUCCUGGAGGCCACCGUGAGGCCUGACCUGGGCCUGGGGAGCUUGGCUUGAGGAAGCUGUGGGCCGACCAAGGCCGCCAGGAGAUGGGCAGGCGCUGAGUCCAAAGAGGUUGUUGGGAGGCAGCAGUCGGGCCUGGAGACGCAGCCGGGAGGAAGAGCUGGGCCCGGAGAGGACGCCGGGAGGCUGCAAGUGGGUCUUUAGAGGCCGACUUGAGGAGGUUCUGGGCCCGGAGAGGCCGCCGGAAGGGAAAAACUGGGCCUGGAAAGGCCGUUUUGAGGAAUGAGCCCCAUGGGCCUGAAGAGGCCACUGGCAGUUGGGAGCUGGGCCUGCGGAAGUGGCGGAGAGGCAGGAGUUUUGGACUCGGGAGGCCGCAGUGAGGCGAGAGGUAGCUGGGCGUGGAGAGUCCGCUGUGAGGCCGAUGGUGGGCCUGUGCAGGCCUUUGCGAGGCAGGAGCUGGCCCUGGACAGGCCGACUUGAUGACAGUCUGGGCCUGGAGAGGCCGCCGGGAGGAAGAGCUGGGCCUGGAGAGGCCGACUGGAGGAAGUCCAGAGCCUGAAGAGGAUGCAAAGCAGCAAACACUAGGCCUGGAAAGGCUGCCCUGAGGCACGGGCUUGGCCUAGAGAGGCCACUGGGAGGCAGGAGCUGGGCCCGCAGAGGUUCCCGAGAGCGGGGAGCAUUGCCCCAGGAGGCCACGGUGAGAAAGAUGUGGGCCUGGAGAGCCCACUGUGAGGUAGAGGCCGGGCCUGUAGAGGCCGCCGACAGGCAGGGGCUGGGCCCGUUGAGGCCACGAGAGGCAUGAGCUGGGCCUCAACAGGCCAGUGUGAGGCAGGAGCUGACACUUGGGCAGGUUGCAAGAGGCAUGAGUUGGGCGAAAAGAGGCCACCGUGAGGGAGGAGUUGGGCCUGUACAAGUUGCCGAAAGGCAGGAGCAGCUUUGGACUGGAGAGGCAGCAGACAGGGAAGAGCUGGGCGUGGAGAGUCUGCUGUGAGGCAGAGGCUGGGCCUGUACAUGCCCUCGGGAAGCAGGAGGCUGGGCCUGGAGAGGCCGACUUGAGGAAGUUUUGCUCCUGGAAAGGCCACUUAGAGACAAGAGCUGGGUGUGAAGAGGCUGACUUGAGGUCGAUUUUGGCCUACAGAAGCCACCGGUAGCUAGGAGUUGGCCCUGGAGAGGCUGACUUGAGGACAGUUUUGGCCUGUAGAGGCCACUGGGAGGGAGAGCUUGGUCUGGAGAGGCCAACUGGAGUAAGUU
rnacentral:lncRNA from 1 species